rnacentral:rRNA from 1 species
AACGUCAGAUGAGAGUGGCGGAAGGGCGAGUAACGCGUGGGCAGCUGCCUCGAGCCCGGGACACCCCGCGAAAGCGGGCUAAUACGGAUGUGUUCUCCCAGGGCAUCCUGGGAAGAAUAAAGGUGGGGAUCUUUCGGGACCUGCCGCUGGAGGAGGUGCCCGCGUGCCAUCAGCUUGUUGGUGAGGUAAUGGCUCACCAAAGCUUACGGCUAGCGGGGUCUGAAAAGAUGGCCCGCCGCACUGGGACUGAGACACUGCCCAGAACUCCUACGGGAGGCUGCAGUCGAAGAUCAUUCCGCAUGCGCGAAAGCGUGACGAUGCGAAGCUGCGUGGAGGAUGACGGCCCUAGGGUUGUAAACUCCCUGUCAUGAGGGAGAAGCCGGGGAAGGGUUAAUAACCCGCCGCCCCGAUAGUACCUCCAGAAGGAACCACGGCUAACUCUGUGCCAGCAGCCGGGGUAAUACAGAGGUGGCUAGCGUUGGUCGGAUUUUACUGGGCGUUAAACGUGCGUAGGCGGCCGAAUAAGUCGGAUGUGAAAGCCCGGGGCCCACCCGGAAUUUGGUCCGAAACUGCCCGAUUGAGUGCCGGAUGGGAGAGGGAAUUCCUGGAGUAGCGGCGAAAUGUGUUGUUAUCUGAAGAAACACCGGUGGCGAAGGCGCCUCUCUGGAAUGCAACUGACGCUGGAGCCCGAAAGCUUGGGGAGCCGACCGGAUUAGAUACCCUGGGUAGUCCAUGCCCGUAAACUGUGCGCACUUGGUGUUGGAAGGUCAACCCCUUUCAGUGCCGGGAGCUAACGCGGUUAAGUGCACCCGCAUGGGGGAGUACGCCCCGCAAGGCUAAAACUCAAAGAAAUUGACGGGGCCCCGCACAAGCGGAGGAGAAUGUGCUUUAAUUCCGAUGCAACGGCGAAGAACCUUACCCAGGCUGGACAUAUAACUGCAAGUCCUGUGAAAGCAGGAUUCUUUCGAGGGUGUUAUACAGGUGCUGCAUGCCUGUCGUCAGUUCGUGCCCGUGAGGUGUUUUGNUUAAGUCCAGCAACGAACGCAACCCCUGUGUCCAGUUGCCAUCAGGUAAUGCUGGGAACUCUGACCAGACUGCCUGUGCAAUCAGGAGAAAGGUGGGAACGACGUCAAGUCAGUAUGGCCCUUACGCCUGGGGCUGCACACGUGCUACAAUGCCCGGUACAGAAGGAUGCAACACCGCGAGUUCGAGCAAAUCCCCAAAGCCGCCCCCAGUUCGGAUUGAAGUCUGCAACUCGACUUCAUGAAGUUGGAUUCGCUAGUAACGGCGUAUCAGCUACGACGCCGUGAAUACGUUCCCGGGCAUUGUACACACCGCCCGUCACAUCAUGAAAGCCGUCUGCACCCGAAGUCG